UGAACACCAAAUACAGAUGAGUGGAUUUUAGUGAAUUUAACUAUUUCCUUCCCUAGUGAUUUCAAAACCAGAAAAAUUGAAGCAAGAAAUAUCAGAAGAAACCAAAAUAUGCUCAGCUCAGCACUGUGUUCAACCUCAAGGAGGAGAUGAAAGAAAAGAGGGCCUUUGAGGUCACUGGAGAAACAAGAAAUAAAUACAGGAAAACUCCAAUAUC
rnacentral:lncRNA from 1 species